CCUACGGGGGGCAGCAGUGAGGAAUAUUGGUCAAUGGACGAGAGUCUGAACCAGCCAAGUAGCGUGAAGGAUGACUGCCCUAUGGGUUGGAAACUUCGUUUAUAAAGGAAUAAAACGAGGCACGGGUGCCGUUGUGCAUGUACGUUAUGAAGAAGGAGCGGCUAACUCCGUGCCAGCAGCCGCGGUAAUACGGAGGAUCCGAGCGUUAUCCGGAUUUAGUGGGGUUAAAGGGAGCGUAGAUGGGUGGUUAAGGCAGUUGUGAAAGUUUGCGGCUCACCCGUACAAUUGCAUUUGAUACUGGCCGUCUUGAGUACAGUUGCGGUAGGCGUAAUUCGUGGUGUAGCGGUGAAAUGCUUAGAU
rnacentral:rRNA from 1 species